ensembl:lncRNA
GUGCUUGGCUGUGUCCGACCCUCUGCGACCCCCUGGACUGCAGCCCUCCAGGCUCCUCUGUAUCUGUGGGAUUUCCCAGUGAGCUCCAUCCACGGUCUCUGCUACAGCGGUCUUCAAGAGGCUCUAAGGUCUCCAUUCAUAACCCCAAAACUGGCUGCCAUUGUUGCAGAGCCCUCCUUCUCACACCGUAUUGUGGGAGAAAGAAGAGGUGGCUCCUGCCCAGGCAGUAGGAUUCAUCCUCUGGAAUCAUCUCUAAAUGACUCAGUGCAGCCAGGCUCAUGGGGUGUGUCCAUUGGCUUCCACCAAGCAGCACCAAUCCACGAUAAAUUUUUCUACUUCGAGACCCUUGACUUUCAAAGCUUAGUGCUCAAGUCAACAUUACCAGAAUCUCCUGAGAGCUUGUUAGAAAACAGAAUCUCAGGUCCCACGUCAAACUGAGUCAGAAUCUGCGUUUUAACAAGGUGUCCACACGAAUCGCACACACACUGGAAACUGGGAAGCUGCGCCACUGGCGUCUAUCCAUUAGCGCGCCUUUGAAAAGAAAGUGUUAGGGACCCAGUCGUGUCCGCCUCUUUGCAACCCCGUGGACUGUAGCCCGCCAGGCUCCUCUCUCCAUGGGAUUCUCCAGGCGGAUUCUUUACCAUCUGAGCCACCAGGGAAGCCCUGCUGCUGCUAAGUCGCUUCAGUCGUGUCCGACUGUGUGGGACCCCAUAGACGGCAGCCCACCAGGCUCCCCCGUCCCUGGGACUCUCCAGGCAAGAACACUGGAGUGGGCUGCCA